AGUGGCGGACGGGUGAGUAACGCGUGGGUAACCUGCCUCAUACAGGGGGAUAACAGUUGGAAACGACUGCUAAUACGCAUGAUGUACGGAGGGGCAUCCCUUCUGUACCAAAGAUUUUUAUCGCUUCGAGAUGGGCUCACGUCUGAUUAGCUAGUUGGCGAGGUAACGGCUCACCAAGGCUGCGAUCAGUAGCCGGACUGAGAGGUUGAACGGCCACAUUGGGACUGAGAUACGGUCCAGACUCCUACGGGAGGCAGCAGUGGGGAAUAUUGGGCAAUGGGCGAAAGCCUGACCCAGCGACGCCGCGUGAGGGAAGAAGGUCUUCGGAUUGUAAACCUUUAUGAUCAGGGAAGAAGCAAGUGACGUUACCUGAAGAUGAAGCCACGGCUAACUACGUG
rnacentral:rRNA from 1 species